UGGGGAAUUUUCUGCAAUGGGCGAAAGCCUGACAGAGCAAUACCGCGUGAGGGACGAAAGCCUGCGGGUUGUAAACCUCUUUUCUCAAAGAAGAAGAUCUGACGGUAUUUGAGGAAUAAGCAUCGGCUAACUCCGUGCCAGCAGCCGCGGUAAUACGGGGGAUGCAAGCGUUAUCCGGAAUCACUGGGCGUAAAGCGUCUGCAGGUGGUUUAUUAAGUCCUUUGUUAAAUCCUGAGGCCUAACCUAAGGCUUGCAAAGGAAACUAAUAAUCUUGAGUAUGGUAGAGGUAGAGGGAAUUUCCAGUGGAGCGGUGAAAUGCGUAGAUAUUGGAAAGAACACCGAUGGCGAAAGCACUCUACUGGGCCAUUACUGACACUCAGAGACGAAAGCUAGGGGAGCAAAUGGGAUUAGAUACCCCCGUAGUCC
rnacentral:rRNA from 1 species